UACAGAGGGUGCAAGCGUUGUUCGGAAUUAUUGGGCGUAAAGCGCGUGUAGGCGGCUUUGCAAGUCGGAUGUGAAAUCCCCAGGCUCAACCUGGGAACUGCAUCCGAUACUGGAUGGCUUGAAUCCGGGAGAGGGAUGCAGAAUUCCAGGUGUAGCGGUGAAAUGCGUAGAUAUCUGGAGGAAUACCGGUGGCGAAGGCGGCAUCCUGGACCGGCAUUGACGCUGAGGAGCGAAAGCUAGGGGAGCAAACGGG
rnacentral:rRNA from 1 species